rnacentral:rRNA from 1 species
AGGAUCCCUAGUAACUGCGAGUGAAGCGGGAAAAGCUCAAAUUUGUAAUCUGGCGGUCUUGGGUCGUCCGAAUUGUAAACUAGAGAAGCGUUAUCCGCGCUGGACCGUGUACAAGUCCCCUGGAAUGGGGCGUCAUAGAGGGUGAGAAUCCCGUCUUUGACACGGACUACCAGGGCUUUGUGAUGCGCUCUCAAAGAGUCGAGUUGUUUGGGAAUGCAGCUCAAAAUGGGUGGUAAAUUCCAUCUAAAGCUAAAUAUUGGCGAGAGACCGAUAGCGAACAAGUACCGUGAGGGAAAGAUGAAAAGAACUUUGGAAAGAGAGUUAAACAGUACGUGAAAUUGCUGAAAGGGAAACGCUUGAAGUCAGUCGCGUUGGCUAGGGAUCAGCCUUACUCUGGUGGGGUGUAUUUCCUUGUCGACGGGUCAGCAUCAGUUUUGGUUGCUGGAUAAAGGCCAGGGGAAUGUGGCACCUUCGGGUGUGUUAUAGCCCUUGGUCAGAUACAGUGGCUGGGACUGAGGAACUCAGCACGCGCAAGCUGUGCUUAGGAUGCUGGCAAAAUGGCUUUAAUCGACCCGUCUUGAAACACGGACCAAGGAGUCUAACAUGCUUGCGAGUGUUUGGGUGGAAAACCCGAGCGCGUAAUGAAAGUGAAAGUUGGGAUCCUUGUCGCGAGGAGCACCGACGCCCGGAGCAGAACUUUUGGGACGCAUCCGCGGUAGAGCACGUAUGUUGGGACCCGAAAGAUGGUGAACUAUGCCUAAUAGGGCGAAAGCCAGAGGAAACUCUGGUGGAGGCUCGUAGCGAUUCUGACGUGCAAAAUCGAUUCGUCGAAAUUUGGUAAAGGG